rnacentral:rRNA from 1 species
AACGAACGCUGGCGGCAGGCUUAACACAUGCAAGUCGAACGCCCCGCAAGGGGAGUGGCAGACGGGUGAGUAACACGUGGGAACAUGCCCAAAGGUACGGAAUAUUCUCGGGAAACUGGGAGCAAUACCGUAUGUGCCCGAAAGGGGAAAGAUUUAUCGCCUUUGGAUUGGCCCGCGUCAGAUUAGGUAGUUGGUGGGGUAAUGGCCUACCAAGCCGACGAUCUGUAGCUGGUCUGAGAGGACGACCAGCCACACUGGGACUGAGACACGGCCCAGACUCCUACGGGAGGCAGCAGUGGGGAAUCUUGGACAAUGGGCGCAAGCCUGAUCCAGCCAUGCCGCGUGGAUGAUGAAGGCCCUAGGGUUGUAAAAUCCUUUCGUUGGGGACGAUAAUGACGGUACCCAAAGAAGAAGCUCCGGCUAACUUCGUG